GUGUACCCCCGUGUACACCACGGUUCCUGCGCACUGUCCGCGCCGCCCGACAGCGGCUCGCGACAUUUUUCAGCC
rfam:Xanthomonas albilineans GPE PC73 complete genome